UCCAUGACCAGAAUGCAGUGGGAGCAUCACUGUGACAGCCAAGGCUAGGUCAUAAAAGAUAGGCUGGAUCUGCCUUUCUUGGGUUGCUUGACCUUGGAGCCCACCCACCAUGUAGAGAGGAACUCAUAAGCCACGCGUAAAUGUUCUAGCUGAAGCUAACUUAGGCCUCAGUCAUGUCAUCAUCAACUACCAGACCUGUGAAAAGCUCAGACAUGAGUUAGUGGGAGAGACAGCCGCUGUGUCCCCAUUCCUGUCUUUCCCAUGACUCCUCUCUGGACAAAGACCUUCACUCAGUUCAAGACCUGCUGACCCCACCAUAGUCCACCAUGGAUACUGAGAUACCUAUGGCUCUGUGGAGGCUCAAGUUGGGUCCACUGCUUUAAACACAUCCCCAGCUAGAGAACCCUUAAGAUCUAUUCUCCUAGCAACUUUAAGCUAUGUAACAGAGGACCGUUGACUACAAUCAAGCUUAGUUUUUCCUCUUUAAAACAAGACGCAUGAUUAUGAUCAGACUUUUGUGGAUCCGAUUUCCCACCACAUCAGACUAUGCCUCUCUGCUCCAGACCCUUCAAAGACUUCUGCGCAGAGCCCAAGAGUUCUAACUUCACAGAAUGGCCUCUGUGGGCUGGCCCUGCCUGCCUGAGUCCAGCCGUCACUCCCUCCUCUCCUAUCAGCUCAGAACUUCUUCUGGCCUCCUUCUCCCCUCCUUGGGGUCAGUUCCCUUAGGGGUCAGAUUGUGGGAGCUUCUCCCUUGAGACCUUCCCCAAAACCAGAGGCUCAAGCAGGUCACGACCAAGGGGAUCCCUAAUAGAUGUCCAGACCUGUCCAAACAGCAGAGCUUUUGUGCCCAAAUCCAUCUCAUGUGGGAUCCUCACUGCACAAAUCAGAGACAAGCAGGGGGCUGCUGUGUGGCCAGGACCCCGUCAACUGAGCCUUCAUCUCUCCCAUUUGUGGUGUGUCCCUUGGAAUGGCAAUGAGCACUGUUUGAAUACCACUGACUCAGUCCAACUCCAUAAUUCUCCAGACUGCUAAUGCCCAGGGUGGGAAAGUGAUUUGCCCAGGGUGUCGGAGCCAGGAGGAAGACUAGAGCUAGGACUUCUGAUCCCCAGACUGGCUCUUCACUAACCAUUAGCUUUUCACCUAUACCAUGCCGCCCCUCUCGUAUUACCACUGAGAUAACUGAGGUUCAAAGGCAUAAGGUGAUGUGUCCUGGGUCACACAGAAAGGCAUGGGUGUGACAGAAAAGCAUGGGUGUAAGCAAAAGUCAGACUCCAAUGCCCAAGUCCUGGCUGAAGGUUUGAAGAAAGAGCUAGUAUCCUAUCGAGCCCUGUUCCCAUGGUGGAAGGCAACCACCAUCUUCUAAAGCUGGUGUUCCUUCAGUCCAUGGACCCCAGCCCCAUCCAUCGCAGUGCAGCAGACAUUUGGCUCUUAUAUCUCUGGUCCUCAUCUUCCCACUUCCCACUCUGUUCCUAGAUUUUCUCUUCUCACUAGUUUGUGCCUCACUUACAACUGGGGAUUGUGGCAAACAAUAAAAGCACUCAAAGAAACUGGGUGCGGAAGCACAGUACUUGUAUCUGGAAAAAUCUCCUAACCCCCCAAGGUCCCUGCAGAGGAAGCACGGGAGAGUGUGAGCACCAGGAAGAGAUUGGAGCUGGGCCCCAGCAAUGGGCAAUCACUGCCAACCUGGUGACACCUGGUGGUGCAAAGAAGAACUGAGUAUGCUGCUGCGGGAUAGCAGAGAACAGAAGUUUAGGAUGUGGGCCCUGUCCGCAGGGAGCUUCUGACCCAGUGUACAAGGUUGGCACACGGGAGGAGCUUUGGAAUGAACACAAAGGAGAGUGUCCCAAGCUGAACGGGAGCGUCUCUGGUGCCCCGGAGUCUCUUCAAAUGACAGAGACGUCACUGCAGGCUAAAGAGAGGAAAAUUUUCCCAGAUGCACCCACCAAACCUCCACCUUGACCAGACUGGAUGUCCCAGCUACCCUGGCUGCAGAGGAGGAGGCCGGGAGAGGAGAUGGGGCCGCCACGGCCAGUGUAGACCAUUCCCCACUUGCCACAUUGCUGCCACCGGUGGAAUUAGGGCCUGAGGAGCCAGGAAAGAGAAGAGAAAUGACUGUUGAGUGAGCAACUCCCGGACUGCCUUGCCCACUACACAUACAUAAGCUCACCUGCCAAGGUGCUCACUACCAAGACUGUGAGCGGCAGCCAUGUGGGCCACUCUCCCUUGACCAGAAUUCAGCACGGGGGCAGCGAUCAUGGCAGAGGCAACACUGUGCCGGGGAAGCCACCAGAUCUGAGCUGCCUGGUUCCGUAUCUGGGCCCAUGUCCGGCUGCCCCCCUGACACAUCAUGGGUCCUGGACAAGUUAGUCAACCUCUCAGCCCCUCAAACUCCCCACCUGAAAACAGGAAUCAUACCGGUCUUCCUGGGACACAAUGGGGUUGCUGGGAGAAUAAGUGCAUUACAUGGGACAAAGCAUUACAUGGGACAUUCCAGGACAGGACAUGGAAUGAGGAUGGAUUUGCUACAUGUUGGCGAUCGCGAGCACGUGUCGAUGCCCUAGCAUGACCUCAGCAUUUUAAAUGCAAUGUGUAUGCUUCUUAACAUAAGCCUGCAAGGCAGAUACUCUUACACCCAUUUUAGAGAUGAGAAAACAGAGUCUCGGGGAAGGGAGGUAAACUAUCAAAAGUCAUGAGGCCAGAGGGCGGCAGAGCCAGGGUUGGAACCUAAGUCCAAAGCCCGGUUCUUUCGAGGAGGUGUGUCCUCUUUUGCUGCCAAAGAACCGGUGGAGUCAGGCCACAGGCGUCAGCCCUGCACAAUUGCCCUCUGGCUUUCUGCAGCCUGCACUUCAAACCGAAAACCAUCAGCUUCCCCAGAAGCCACGUCUGCCUCAGAAGGAGCUUGAAAGCUGGGCCUCUGCAGCCUUGUGACGCGUCACAGCGCCCCAUGGGAGGGGAGGCUCUGUCUUCUCCCCCAUCCUGCUGGUGCUCACGGGGUGUGGAAGCAGAGAUGCUCCACCAGCACCCUCUUUCUCCAAAAGGUCUUUUGUGAACUGUGGAUUUGUGGGUGUCACGUUGGCCUCCUAGGUCUCAGGAUGACGGGCCAGGUGCGCCUGGGUGGAGGUGGGGGCACGUGAGCCCGGCCUACCGCCAGAAAGCAUUUCCAAUGAGCUGCCAGGGAUUCUUUGGUGCUCACAGCACCUCCACAGCACCCACACCACGCACACACACGCACACACAACACAUCCCCGUCACCUCCUCUUCCUGCUGCCCCAAUCCCAAGCCACCGCUGAAGUCCAGCCUGCAGCCCUCCUCUUCCAGCAAACCGCCGGCGCCCAUGCCACACCAGGCCCCUGCCUGUGUCAUCCUCUCCCCCUAUGAGACGGGGGACAGGUCUGACUCCUGGCUCAAACGGGCAAGGCCUGCCUCCCCCAAGCCCGCUCUAGAAAUGCACCCUGGUAAAAUACUACAUUUUUCUCAAGCUAUCUCUGCCUGCAAAGUGAGCACAUGGAGUUGAGAUGUCAGAAACCAGACAAAAGGCUUUACUAUAACUGAUAUGGAUUAAAACGGAAAUGGAAAGCAAGAUCUAAGACACCGAAGCCACCAGUCAGGACUGUCACCAAGCGAGCCAACAACGGCCCCCAAGCCGGGUCACACAACAGUACUUCCAAGGGAGCGGGGAAGACCCAACUACAGCCCCGCUGCCGAUCACCGUCUCCUAGAGCGCCCCCCACCAGGGCCGACCACCCCCACCACGUGAUAACACAUACUCUGCUUCUGAAAAUGAUGCAUCCAACACCUUGAGAAAUUAGUGUGAGGGCCCUGGGAUGUACAACGGGGCACCUGGGGGGCUCAGUAGGUUGGGCACCUGCCUUCCCAGGGUCCUGGGAUUGAGUCCUGUAUCGGGCUCCCUGCUCAGUGGGGAGUCUGCUCCUCCCUCUCCCUCUGCCCCUCCCCCUGCUCAUGUGCUCUAUCUCUCUCAAAUAAAAAAAAUAUUUAAACACACACAUACACACACACACACCAGAUGUGAUCUAAUUGUCUGUUCUGCAAAGAUGACCUUGAUCCCUUCCUCCCUCCAUCCCUAUACAUCAUGUUUCACGUCUUUGCUGCCUGUUGCCAUUGUGUGUUCUAUACCCAUCCUGGCCACCAGCUCCCCUUGCUGUGGACAGGAGCACAUAGCAGGAUACCCGAUGAAUACCCGCAGUGCAGCAGCCUCCGCCAGCCAGGGGAGGCCAGCUCCAUACCAGCAUGCCGAGAAUCCAGAGCUGAGCCCAGGUGCACCCCAACAGGGCCCAGGCCUACCCCCAGGCUUAAGAACAUCACUGAUAAUGCAAUUUCUGGUGCUUUUUUUCAUUUUGCCAGAGAUAAAGAUACCUACGCGAGUCCAUCCAUCCAUCCAUAUAUAUACAUGUUAGCCACGGCAACUAAGAAAGCCAUCCAAAUUGCAGCACUGAAAUGAACAGAGCUGAACAAUAAGCUAAAACAUGCCUAGAGCAAG